UUUAAAAAAGAUCAGAUCAGAUCAGAUCAAAUGAUCUGAUCUGAUCUUUUUUACACC
rnacentral:pre_miRNA from 1 species